UUUUAAAGCAACUUUCUUUUCUUUACAGAUCCUUAAAAUACUGUUAUUAAGCAUUGGGAGGUAACAAUAUCCAAUGAAGUAGCAGGAAGUCCUGAAGUCCUUCAGGAGGGUUCAGUCCGCAGGAGACCUUGUACGACUACAAUCUACUGCAGCAAAAGCUUUUACUCUCAACAGAUGUAAUCACUGUAACGACAGACCGAGGGCAAACAAAAUUAAACCAGUUGGGUGAAUUAGCUCAGCAAGUGACAGUUCACAGGAGAGUCUUUAUCUGCUCUUUCCACAGACUGUGUGUGCAUAAUUGCAGAUUUCUACAAAAGGCUCCCUGAUGACAGCUAUUGAUUAAGGCUACAGUGCUCUUCUCUAUUACAUGGCAUUGAGGUGAGAACUCAGCUAAACACCUGGAAAUGCUGUCAAGGAGUUAUCCAAAGAGGAUGGGCAACACCUGGGAACGGUAAACCCAAAAGAACAUCAAGUGAGGGCUUGCUGCUCUUCACUGUAAGAAGCCCCUGUAGCAUCUGAUGCAAACACACUGUUGGAGCCUGGGAAUUACUGGAUGAGUGGUCACCAGUCUUGAAGAGAGCAGAAGACUGAUUCAACAGAGAAAUCCAAACACCUCUCUGUGAAGUGUUUUCAGAGUUUAUCCCCUGCUGAAAGUCUCCUCUAAGGUAAUGGUUACAAAUGACAGCAGGUGUAUUGUAAACAAAAUUUCUGAAAAAUGGUUCUUGUUCAUCCAAAGAGCUUGUGAAUUCUAUAGCCUGCAUUAUUGCU